rnacentral:rRNA from 1 species
UGCGUAGGCGGAUAAAUAAGUCAGUGGUGCAAUCUUUCGGCUCAACCGGGAAACUGCCAUUGAUACUGUUUAUCUUGAGUUCGGCAGAGGUAGGCGGAAUGUGUAAUGUAGCGGUGAAAUGCUUAGAUAUUACACAGAACACCAAUUGCGUAGGCAGCUUACUAUACCGACACUGACGCUGAGGCACGAAAGCGUGGGGAGCGAACAGGAUUAGAUACACUGGUAGUCC